CACCAGGUUGAUUCUGCCUGACGUAGACGCUAUUCUCUAAGAUUAACCCAUGCAUGUUUUUGACAUUUGAAAAAUGGACUGCUCAGUAAUACUCACUUUAUUUUAUGUAAAUUUUUGAUUAAUUAACUACGUUAAAGUGUAGAUAAGAUGUUUACAGUAAGAGUGAGACCUAUCAGCUAGUUGUUAAGGUAAUGGCUUAACAAGGCUGUGACGGGUAACGGUAUUACUUUGUAAUAUUCCGGAGAAGGAGCCUGAGAGACGGCUACUAAGUCUAAGGAUUGCAGCAGGGGCGAAACUUGACCUAUGGAUUUUAUCUGAGGCAGUUAUGGGAAGUAAUAUUAUAUUGUUUCAUAUUUUAAAAGUAUAUGAGGUGAUUAAUUGGAGGGCAAAUCAAGUGCCAGCAGCCGCGGUAAUACUUGUUCCAAGAGUGUGUAUGAUGAUUGAUGCAGUUAAAAAGUCCGUAGUUUAUUUUUUUAAGAAGCAAUAUGAGGUGUACUGUAUAGUUGGGAGAAAGAUGAAAUGUGACGACCCUGACUGGACGAACAGAAGCGAAAGCU
rnacentral:rRNA from 1 species